GACGAACGCUGGCGGCGUGCCUAAUACAUGCAAGUCGAACGAAGCUUUUUUAACUGGUGCUUGCACCGACUUAAACAACUGAGUGGCGAACGGGUGAGUAACACGUGGGUAACCUGCCCCAAAGCGGGGGAUAACAUUUGGAAACAGAUGCUAAUACCGCAUAACCACAGAAACCACAUGGUUUCUGUGUCAAAGAUGGUUUCGGCUAUCACUUUGGGAUGGACCCGCGGCGUAUUAGCUAGUUGGUAAGGUAAUGGCUCACCAAGGCAAUGAGACGAAGCCGAACUGAAGGGUUGAGCGGCCACAUUGGGACUGAGACACGGCCCAAACUCCUCCGGGAGGCAGCAGUAGGGAAUCUUCCACAAUGGACGAAAGUCUGAUGGAGCAACGCCGCGUGAGUGAAGAAGGUUUUCGGAUCGUAAAACUCUGUUGUCAGAGAAGAACGUGUGCGAGAGUAACUGUUCGUGCAGUGACGGUAUCUGGCCAGAAAGCCACGGCUAACUACGUGCCAGCAGCCGCCGUAA
rnacentral:rRNA from 1 species